GUAGAGGUCACCAGCAUAGGUCAGAGGGGAUAUUGUAUGUAACUGGUGACAUUUGAAAGAGACAUAUUGGACAGAAAUGACAUACGUGAAAGCUAAGAUACAAUAUAUUUAAUUUUCUAAGAAUUCAGUUCAAGGUAGUCUGCCUGGUUUCUCAAGUUCUGCAUGUUUCUUCAGUAGACUAAAUAAUGAUAAGGAAGCUGAGAUGUAGAGCUGAAGUGUCUUGCCCAAGAUCAUUUGUCUACCUAUGACCUGGCUCAACCCAGCUACAAGUUGUUAAUAAGAGGGAAGCAUAUCAGGAAAAUCUGAGUGCAAUGGUUUAGGAAUUGGGAAAGUAUAAAAGGUAUAGCACAACAGCACUAGACAACUGAGGUAGUCACCUACCUAAGGAGAGAUGCCAAGGACAAGUUGGCCAGCUAAACACUUUCUCCAGAAAUGGGAUUUAUAGGUCACCAGUUCAGCUUUGCAGAUAGGCUAUGAAGUUGAUGGAUAUCUCUGAUUGGGCACCCCAGCUGGUAGGAACACAGCUGCAGCUCCUGUUCCACUUCCUUUCUUGUACUGCUGAACAUCCAGAUAGAGGCAUUGACAUGCAUGGUUUCCAACUGAUCACUUCCUACUCCCUUAAGGACCUCCUGUCAGGCAGUUUUGCUAAUUUCUUUAAUAUCAGAAGACAGCUGGAUUCUCAUUUCUGCUUCUGCAUUCAGUCUAUUGUGAUAUAGCAUAUCAUGUAACUUCUGAAAAACUUCACUGUACACAGAUGCUGACCUCACAGACUCCCUGAAAGGAUCUCCAUGACCUCUAUGGUUCCUUAGACUGCACUUUGAGAACUAUUGACGUACAGGGAAAAAUGCUCUUGGUGUUCCAGUUAAGCACAGAAUAAAAUCUGGACUGUGUCAGUUUGUAAAGAUCUUAUGUCUACUUGGUCAUCAGCCAAGAAGGGAUUCCGAAGAUAGAAGAGGAGGCAUCAACACCGUGAACAUCAUGGCUGAGUUAUUUUGUGAGAGGGAUAAGCCUAAAGUAAAAACCUUGGAUUUGCCUCUGUCCUUGAACAUGCUAUCUGGAAAGAGUUUUCUUAAAAGUAUUGUUGUGAACACAUCCAUUUUCCCAGUAUAGUUGAAUGCAGGGUUUAAUAAAUGGAAUGAAUCUAGUUUUA
rnacentral:lncRNA from 1 species